AAAAAACGUUUCCUUUUCUUUUCUUCUUGUUUUUGGUAACGUGGGUGAUGAAAUGUUGAUGAUGAUAAGCAGGCUCAGUCUGUUACAAAAGGAGAGAGGAGGAGGAGGAAGGGGGAGGAGGAGUAGGGCCAGGUGAGAAAACUCCACAACAACUCCAUGUCUCAUUUAUUAUAAAAUAAUUUCAUUCAAUUUAUUGCAACUGGUUUCUGCAAAAGCUGCAAAUUUAUUAAACCAAUCCGAGAGUUGCAUGCAUGUGAAAUAUUCGCAGUGAAUUGAAAAUAGCAAUCAUAAGGAUGCAUAUGUAUAUCUGCAUCCGCCUACUUUGCUAUAUAGUAGAUUAUAGAUAUACUUGUUCUCCAAUGUUAUUCUUCUUCAAGGUGCUAAAUUAAAUAAUUAAAUAGUGUAAUGUAACAUGUACGUAUUAAUUAGUUAUGGUCAACUAAUAUAUAUAUAAUAUAUAUAAUUUUUGUGUUUUUCUUUGAAGUCAUGGAGGGUUGCCAUGCACGAUCUCCCAGAACAUGAUUCAUUUGGUGUGGUAA
rnacentral:lncRNA from 1 species